rnacentral:lncRNA from 1 species
AGCCUAAGUGCAUCUCAGCUGAUAACUAAGAACUCGGCGAACUAUUUAAUCACCUCAGCAUCCUCCUUGAGCACUCACUUUUCAACCCUGCUUCAUGUGAAAGGAAGGGACUGCACUUGCUGGGAGAGGGUUCCUUUAUGGGAAGCAUGAGCCUCACAUUAGCAAUGGUGACUUUUGUCUUCCAGUGCUGAGGGAUGGAGGUCACCGGCAACUGAUGGUCCAUCUCAGAAUCUCAGGAACAUCGGAGGAUCUGGCUCUCUACAGCCAAAGCAGGAGAUCAACAGGUCUGGACUUCACUGGAUCCUUUGGUGGAACACAGGAAUAA